rnacentral:rRNA from 1 species
UACGUAGGGGGCUAGCGUUGUCCGGAUUUAUUGGGCGUAAAGAGCGUGUAGGCGGCCAUACAGGUCCGUUGUGAAAACUCGAGGCUUAACCUCGAGACGUCGAUGGAAACCGUAUGGCUAGAGUCCGGAAGAGGAGAGUGGAAUUCCUGGUGUAGCGGUGAAAUGCGCAGAUAUCAGGAAGAACACCCGUGGCGAAGGCGGCUCUCUGGGACGGUACUGACGCUGAGACGCGAAAGCGUGGGGAGCGAACAGG